GGGGAAUUUCCCGCAAUGGGCGAAAGCCUGACGGAGCAAUACCGCGUGAGGGAGGAAGGUUCUUGGGUUGUAAACCUCUUUUCUCAAGGAAUAAGAAUGAAGGUACUUGAGGAAUAAGCAUCGGCUAACUCCGUGCCAGCAGCCGCGGUAAUACGGAGGAUGCAAGCGUUAUCCGGAAUGAUUGGGCGUAAAGCGUCCGUAGGUGGUUUUGUGUGUCUGCUGUUAAAGCGUGCGGCUUAACCGCAUAAGGGCGGUGGAAACUACAAGACUAGAGUACGUUCGGGGCAGGGGGAAUUCCCAGUGUAGCGGUGAAAUGCGUAAAGAUUGGGAAGAACACCGGUGGCGAAAGCGCCCUGCUAGGCCGUAACUGACACUGAGGGACGAAAGCUAGGGGAGCGAAAGGGAUUAAAUACCCCAGUAGUC
rnacentral:rRNA from 1 species